AUUGAACGCUGGCGGCAGGCCUAACACAUGCAAGUCGAGCGGAUGACGGGAGCUUGCUCCUUGAUUCAGCGGCGGACGGGUGAGUAAUGCCUAGGAAUCUGCCUGGUAGUGGGGGACAACGUUUCGAAAGGAACGCUAAUACCGCAUACGUCCUACGGGAGAAAGCAGGGGACCUUCGGGCCUUGCGCUAUCAGAUGAGCCUAGGUCGGAUUAGCUUGUUGGUGAGGUAAUGGCUCACCAAGGCGACGAUCCGUAACUGGUCUGAGAGGAUGAUCGGUCACACUGGAACUGAGACACGGUCCAGACUCCUACGGGAGGCAGCAGUGGGGAAUAUUGGACAAUGGGCGAAAGCCUGAUCCAGCCAUGCCGCGUGUGUGAAGAAGGUCUUCGGAUUGUAAAGCACUUUAAGUUGGGAGGAAGGGCAGUAAGCUAAUACCUUGCUGUUUUGACGUUACCGACAGAAUAAGCACCGGCUAACUCUGUGCCAGCAGCCGCGGUAA
rnacentral:rRNA from 1 species